UACGUAGGCAGCGAGCGUUGUUCGGAGUUACUGGGCGUAAAGGGUGUGUGGGCGGUUGUUUAAGUUUGGUGUGAAAUCUCCCGGCUCAACUGGGAGGGUGCGCCGAAUACUGAAUGACUUGGAGUGCGGGAGAGGAAAGUGGAAUUCCUGGUGUAGCGGUGAAAUGCGUAGAUAUCAGGAGGAACACCUGUGGUGUAGACAGCUUACUGGACCAUCACUGACGCUGAGACACGAAAGCGUGGGUAGCAAACAGG
rnacentral:rRNA from 1 species